rnacentral:sRNA from 2 species
UCUUUUUGAUCGCUUAAUUUCACAUCUUCAAUGUGAAAGCGGGGGACCCAUCUAUCGGGGUGAAUCUUACGAAUGUAAGAGGGGAUACUUCCAUUCCUAAUCCGACAGCUAACCUCGUAAGCGUCAUACGAAGGAAGG